GAUGAAGAACGUAGCGAAAUGCGAUAAGUAAUGUGAAUUGCAGAAUUCAGUGAAUCAUCGAAUCUUUGAACGCACAUUGCGCCCGCUAGUAUUCUGGCGGGCAUGCCUGUUCGAGCGUCAUUUCAACCAUCAAGCUCCUUAGCUUGUGUUGGGGACCUGCGGCUGCCGCAGCCCCCGAAAUGCAGUGGCGGGCUCGUUGUCACACCGAGUGCAGUAAUCAUUCUUCUCUCCGGGCGUGGCGGCGGGUUCCGACCGUAAAAUCACCAAUUUAUCAAGGUUGACCUCGGAUCAGGUAGGAAUACCCGCUGAACUUAAGCAUAUCAAUAAGCGGAGGA
rnacentral:misc_RNA from 1 species